CCAAAUAUCCCAUAAAUUCAUGAGAUAUUCAUAAAUCUCGAAUAUCUAGCUAAUUUCAUAAACUCAUGGAAUAUCACAAAGGAUCAAAAUCCUCUCUUCUUGAUAAUCAAAUACAUCAAGAAGGUCCACAAAAUCCUCCUUUCAUGGAGAUCAAAUCUAAAUAUUCCUACGUUCGAGAAAUACGCCACUAACGGUUCUUGAAUUACGGAGAAGUCCAAAUAUUCCUAUAUUCGAGAAAUACGCCACUAACGACCAUUGAAUUACGAAGAAAUCCAAAUAUUCCUACAUUCGAGAAAACAAAUUGGCAUGCCCAGCGGGAUCAAAUCUGCCCUUUAUCUCUUCUCUCACAAAUCAAAUAUGCAAAUCUGUAGUCGCAGGAGCAUGGAAGCUCUAUGGGUACUUCAAGACUCGUCAUCAAGUCUAUACUUCGACAAGCCUUGAAGUAGGGGCAUUUGUAGACACAUAAAGUUUGCGGGACUCUGUGGGACUCUACAAAAAGAUUUCAAAUUCUGUUAGAGUUCUUAGAGUCUAGUUUACCCUAAACCCUGAAUUAUACCUAUAAAAAGGGGACGACUUACUCCCUUUGAACAAGUAUGUUGAAUAUCAUGGAUAUUCGUAAAAAGAUCGGGAUCUCCAAUAUCCCACAAAAUCAUGGGAUAUUCAUAAAGAGAUCAUCCUAUAUUCGAGAAUAAGCCACUAACGGCCCUCAAAUUAUGGAGAAAAUCAAUAGAGAAGAAUCAAGGGAGGAACAGAUUUGAACUCUCAUCGUUUAUCAAUAAAAUUCUUGUUUCUUCGUAA
rnacentral:lncRNA from 1 species